rnacentral:rRNA from 1 species
CGGCGAGUGAAGCGGCAAAGCUCAAAUUUGAAAUCUGGUACCUUUGGUGCCCGAGUUGUAAUUUGGAGAGUACCACUUUGGGACUGUACUUUGCCUAUGUUCCUUGGAACAGGACGUCAUGGAGGGUGAGAAUCCCGUGUGGCGAGGGUGUCAGUUCUUUGUAAAGGGUGCUCGAAGAGUCGAGUUGUUUGGGAAUGCAGCUCUAAGUGGGUGGUAAAUUCCAUCUAAAGCUAAAUACAGGCGAGAGACCGAUAGCGAACAAGUACAGUGAUGGAAAGAUGAAAAGAACUUUGAAAAGAGAGUGAAAAAGUACGUGAAAUUGUUGAAAGGGAAGGGCAUUUGAUCAGACAUGGUGUUUUGCGCCCCUUGCCUCUCGUGGGCUUGGGACUCUCGCAGCUCACUGGGCCAGCAUCGGUUUUGGCGGCCGGAAAAAACCUAGGGAAUGUGGCUCUGCGCCUCGGUGUAGAGUGUUAUAGCCCUGGGGAAUACGGCCAGCCGGGACCGAGGACUGCGAUACUUGUUAUCUAGGAUGCUGGCAUAAUGGUUAUAUGCCGCCCGUCU